AGCAGUUCAGAACAAUAAAUUAAAAUGAGUAUCAGGACGUACGCCGCCGCUACGAAUCUAUUCAAUGAUACUCCUACUAAAUACAACCUCGUCGUACAGAACGGUUACAUGUCUCUCAACUAUUCAAGCUUGGGUAUACGGGGUAACCCAACCGUGGGCGAAUGGGUUGCAUGGCUAAAUUGAUAGGC
rnacentral:ribozyme from 1 species